rnacentral:hammerhead_ribozyme from 1 species
AUUCAACUGACGAGUCCCAAAUAAGACGAAACGCGAGUUUUGAAC